UGAGCUGGGGAAGGACGCGUGAGCACUUCUCUUGGCAGGGUCAGUUCAAACAGACUGUACAGACACUUCUCCAGGCACAGCUGUGAAGCAUAAGCUGUCGCUGGAAGAACAUUUGGGGUUUUGCGAAGGGAGACCAAAGGACCCUGAUUGGUCCGAUGCAAGCCAGAGUGAGGACCCAGCCCUACUGCAACUCAGCAGACCAUUCCAAUGACAGUACCUCUCGUGAAAUAAAACUAUCCUCUGCAGAGUCAUUUAAGAAUUUUGAGUAUGAGACAGAUGUCAACUCUGGACAGCAGAUACUGACAUCUUGGAAACUGAUUUCACAAAGGAGAAUACUUUCCAAUUACCUGUGACCAAUUGAAUCUGUGAGAAUACAAGAAGAAUGCCAUCUACAAGCAAGGCUGUGAAAUCUCACCCUAUCCUAACCAUGCUGGGACCUUGUCUUCAGAGUUGCAGCCUCUAGGACAACUGAGAAAACAAGUCCCUAUUGCAUAAGCACCCAGGCUGUGGUAUUCUGUUAUGGCAGCCUGAACUGACUAAGAUACUAUGUUAAGUACUUCACAGAAAAAUACUAUUUCAUGCUCUCAUAAGAGCUCUAUCAGACAGACAUUUAAUAUCACACCAAAUUUACAGCUGAAGAAAGUGAGGAAAGAGAAUUUAAGCAAUUUGUCCAGUGUCACAGAGCUAUUAAGUGGCCGUCAGGAUAUAAAUCUAGCCUGUCAAAUGCCAAUGCCUGUCCUAAACCACUUUAGUAUGAUGUCUUCAAUGUGUAUAACUUUUAAUUUCUACAAACUCACCACUCAUGAAUCAACCAACUUAUUCACAUUUGUCACAUUUAUUAAUAUAUGAAUUUAUAUUUCUCUGUGGCACUUUUUUAG